AUUGAACGCUGGCGGCAGGCCUAACACAUGCAAGUCGAACGAGUGGCGGACGGGUGAGUAAUGUCUGGGAAACUGCCUGAUGGAGGGGGAUAACUACUGGAAACGGUAGCUAAUACCGCAUACCAUCAGAUGUGCCCAGAUGGGAUGAGCUUGUUGGUGGGGUAACGGCUCACAAAGGCGACGAUCCCUAGCUGGUCUGAGAGGAUGACCAGCAACACUGGAACCGAGACACGGUCCAGACUCCUACGGUAGGCAUGAGUGGGGAAGGUUGCGCAAGGGGCGCAAGGCUGAUGCAGCCAGGCCGCGUGUAUGAAGAAGGCCUUCGGGUGGUAAAGUUCUUUCAGCGGGGAGGCGUUACCCGCAGAAGAAGCACCGGCUAACUCCGUGCCAGCGGCCGCGGUAAUAC
rnacentral:rRNA from 1 species